rnacentral:rRNA from 1 species
CGAACGCUGGCGGCGUGCUUAACACAUGCAAGUCGAACGGAAAGGCCCUGCUUUUGUGGGGUGCUCGAGUGGCGAACGGGUGAGUAACACGUGAGUAACCUGCCCUUGACUUUGGGAUAACUUCAGGAAACUGGGGCUAAUACCGGAUAGGAGCUCCUGCUGCAUGGUGGGGGUUGGAAAGUUUCGGCGGUUGGGGAUGGACUCGCGGCUUAUCAGCUUGUUGGUGGGGUAGUGGCUUACCAAGGCUUUGACGGGUAGCCGGCCUGAGAGGGUGACCGGCCACAUUGGGACUGAGAUACGGCCCAGACUCCUACGGGAGGCAGCAGUGGGGAAUAUUGCACAAUGGGCGGAAGCCUGAUGCAGCAACGCCGCGUGCGGGAUGACGGCCUUCGGGUUGUAAACCGCUUUCGCCUGUGACGAAGCGUGAGUGACGGUAAUGGGUAAAGAAGCACCGGCUAACUACGUGCCAGCAGCCGCGGUGAUACGUAGGGUGCGAGCGUUGUCCGGAUUUAUUGGGCGUAAAGGGCUCGUAGGUGGUUGAUCGCGUCGGAAGUGUAAUCUUGGGGCUUAACCCUGAGCGUGCUUUCGAUACGGGUUGACUUGAGGAAGGUAGGGGAGAAUGGAAUUCCUGGUGGAGCGGUGGAAUGCGCAGAUAUCAGGAGGAACACCAGUGGCGAAGGCGGUUCUCUGGGCCUUUCCUGACGCUGAGGAGCGAAAGCGUGGGGAGCGAACAGGCUUAGAUACCCUGGUAGUCCACGCUGUAAACGGUGGGUACUAGGUGUGGGGUCCAUUCCACGGGUUCCGUGCCGUAGCUAACGCUUUAAGUACCCCGCCUGGGGAGUACGGCCGCAAGGCUAAAACUCAAAGGAAUUGACGGGGCCCCGCACAAGCGGCGGAGCAUGCGGAUUAAUUCGAUGCAACGCGUAGAACCUUACCUGGGUUUGACAUGGAUCGGGAGUGCUCAGAGAUGGGUGUGCCUCUUUUGGGGUCGGUUCACAGGUGGUGCAUGGCUGUCGUCAGCUCGUGUCGUGAGAUGUUGGGUUAAGUCCCGCAACGAGCGCAACCCUUGUUCACUGUUGCCAGCACGUUAUGGUGGGGACUCAGUGGAGACCGCCGGGGUCAACUCGGAGGAAGGUGGGGAUGACGUCAAGUCAUCAUGCCCCUUAUGUCCAGGGCUUCACGCAUGCUACAAUGGCUGGUACAGAGAGUGGCGAGCCUGUGAGGGUGAGCGAAUCUCGGAAAGCCGGUCUCAGUUCGGAUUGGGGUCUGCAACUCGACCUCAUGAAGUCGGAGUCGCUAGUAAUCGCAGAUCAGCAACGCUGCGGUGAAUACGUUCCCGGGGCUUGUACACACCGCCCGUCAAGUCAUGAAAGUUGGUAACACCCGAAGCCGGUGGCCUAACCGUUGUGGGGGAGCCGUCGAAGGUGGGACUGGUGAUUAGGAC